ACCUUGCGCGAAUGGAGCGGCCGAUGGCAGAUUAGGUGGUUGGUGAGGUAAAGGCUCACCAAGCCUUCGAUCUGUAGCUGGUCUGAGAGGACGACCAGCCACACUGGGACUGAGACACGGCCCAGACUCCUACGGGAGGCAGCAGUGGGGAAUUUUGGACAAUGGGCGCAAGCCUGAUCCAGCCAUGCCGCGUGCAGGAUGAAGGCCUUCGGGUUGUAAACUGCUUUUGUACGGAACGAAACGGCCUUUUCUAAUAAAGAGGGCUAAUGACGGUACCGUAAGAAUAAGCACCGGCUAACUACGUGCCAGCAGCCGCGGUAAUACGUAGGGUGCAAGCGUUAAUCGGAAUUACUGGGCGUAAAGCGUGCGCAGGCGGUGAUGUAAGACAGUUGUGAAAUCCCCGGGCUCAACCUGGGAACUGCAUCUGUGACUGCAUUG
rnacentral:rRNA from 1 species